UGAUGAUGAUUGUGAUGAUGGUGACGGUGAUAAUGAUGAUAAUGAUGAUGAUGAUUAUGAUUGUGAUGAAUGAAUGCAGAUCAUCAUCAUCGUCAUCGUCGUCAUCAUCAUCAUCAUCA
rnacentral:pre_miRNA from 1 species